GCCUCCCACAGUGCUUGGAUUACAGGCAUGAGCCACCAUGCCCAGCCGAUAAUUUGCCAUUCUGUAUUUAUUUGCGUGUUAGAGACCAGUUAAAGUUAGACACUUUCUAAAUAGAAGUCUUGUAUAUGGGGCUUUUGAGAAAGUGUUUUCCCGUGAUGCUGGGGGGAAACACACAUAUUCAAAUUACUUGUAUAAAACAGUUUAUUCUGUGUUUAGGAACUUGUAGGGGUGAAAUGCUGACCUGUGUUACUCUUUCUUUCCAUGAUCAGCGUCCAGAGGACCAGAGGUUAAUUUAUUCUGGGAAGCUGUUGUUGGAUCACCAAUGUCUCAGGGACUUGCUUCCAAAGCAGGAAAAACGGCAUGUUUUGCAUCUGGUGUGCAAUGUGAAGAGUCCUUCAAAAAUGCCAGAAAUCAACGCCAAGGUGUGUCUGCCUCUUCAUGAUGGUAACAAUUUGUAUCAUUCAGACUUUCAGGGGAGUAAUAAAAGAAGUUGGAUAAAACUUUUAUCGA
rnacentral:sRNA from 1 species